UGGCAGGAACCAUGCGAGUUGCUGCCGGUGAACCCCGCCAGGUCCGGAAGGAAGCAACGGUAACUGGUAAGCGUUGCGCCGUGGACACUCCUGCCCGGA
rnacentral:SRP_RNA from 1 species